CCGAGUUUACAACUCCCAAACCCCUGUGAACAUACCUACUUGUUGCCUCGGCGGAUCAGCCCGCGCCCGUAAAACAGGACGGCCCGCCAGAGGAACCCCUAAACUCUGUUUCUAUAGUGGAACUUCUGAGUAAAAACCAUAAUAAAUCA
rnacentral:misc_RNA from 1 species